UAGGUUAUCCCACUCGCUGGAACUAGUGCUGCAACAGUUUAACGCUCCGAUUUCUCCUCAAAGACUACCUAGGGCUUGGGGCUUCUCGGUAUCCUUGCUUCUAGGGACCCAUUUGUCUUUGUCCCUCCUGUUGAGGACCCUAAGGUAGAUCCCUCAUCCAGGUUGCCCUUGCCUUUGGGUGGACUACAGAGGCCAGUCUUCAAAGCCUGAAGGGGUAGGAUUUCCUUUUCACAUUUCAUUUUCCCAUGACUACCAACCUUGCAAACCCUGAUGAAACCACGGUCUUACCUUUGUAACUGUUGGUACUUUAAGGGCCCAGAUUCAAACCUUCUUUCUUGAUGGAAAAAGCUUCCCAACGUGAUACAGAAGGUCGCGAUUGCAGAGAGUACUCGAAGAAGUUAAAUGAAAGAAAGGACUCACUAAAUCGGCGAAAGGGAGCCUCAUUCAGAAGCCUGGCCUGGAGAGCAUGAUCGUGAGGACAAGCCAGAUUCUAGAACGAUUAAUUCUCUCUGUCCUUUUAUUAGGUAUAGGGAUCAGUCGUUAUUCCAUCUGUGCUGGUCUAUGGGUUGGGAUAGUUAUUCCAGAACCUAAAGUUGAAACAAGGAGGAAUUUCCCUGGGUAAUAAACCUUCAACGAAGAAGG
rnacentral:lncRNA from 1 species